GUCUAUGAAACACUGGGAGGCUCUGAAACAGGUGGACCGUCAAGUGAAUACAUUAAUGUUGCGACUGUGUCAGCUCAUCUCUAAGAGUACAUAAGGAGAAGUACAUCAUGAACAAGCAGUAGACGCUCUGGUGAAAAACAUAACCAGCAUUUGUGUCAAGGGAAUAAUUUUAUCUUUUAGAGCCUGUGCUCACAGUCACUGUUCCCUGUGCUGGCAGUGCCAACAUCAGCGAGGCUAAUCUUUGACUUCUGCUUUUCUCUGUAUUAUAUGUAAUAAUGUUUAAAAUAGCUUUGUGUGCUUGUACUAGUAAAAAAAUGAAUCAUUUCCAGGCACUUCCAGCAAGUAGGGACCUGGGAAUUGUACCACUAAAAAAGAUGUGUCAGUUCAGUUUCCCCUCAGCUAUUGCUGAUGAUAAAGUUGGUCUGACUCUUUUAUUUUUCUGAGAUGAAGAAGUGGCAUCGGUGAGCACGGCUCUGCCUCAAAAGUUACAUUUUCUGUCAGCAUAGAAAGCUGUGCGAACAGCAGUGCCAGUUUCGUCAACUAUGCCUGUGACUAGAAAUGCUUGUCGAUUAUCUUUUAUUUCCAUGAGAAAGACUUGCUGAAAAUAGAGCUCUAAAGAAUAAAAACUAUGCAAUGAUUUACAAAUCUUAUAAACCCAUCUUCUAAAAUGGAAAAUGAACAAUAUAUCAGAUGUUGAAACUGAGACAUUUACAAAAUUUACAGGGCAUGGCUCUCACCAUAUCACAGGAAGUUAGUGUUAUUGCAACAUACAGCAUGCAAUCUAACACUUUGUGUGAUAAGAGACCACUUCCUAACAUUUCUGUAUGCCAACAUCAAGUUUCUGUAACCUUUAAGUUAGAUCCAUUAAGACCUAAAUGACAUGAUUGAGUAAGUUAGCCUGACAUUCACACUGUGCUUUCCUUUCAUGUUUUGUAUAAAAAUACAUGACAAUUUAUGGCUGUUGAACUUUUCUGUGACUCAUAGACAUGAGUGCUAGCCUGUUUUGUAGUUUUCCCAUGACCCCCACAUACGUUCCCAGUGUAUGUGUGGGUCACAGGCUCGCCCAUAGAAUUGUCUGGGCCCCUGAAAAACCCAGUGAA